CCUACGGGAGGCAGCAGUGAGGAAUAUUGGUCAAUGGACGAGAGUCUGAACCAGCCAAGUAGCGUGAAGGAUGACUGCCCUAUGGGUUGUAAACUUCUUUUAUAUGAGAAUAAAAUGUUCCACGUGUGGGAUUUUGUAUGUACCAUAUGAAUAAGCAUCGGCUAACUCCGUGCCAGCAGCCGCGGUAAUACGGAGGAUCCGAGCGUUAUCCGGAUUUAUUGGGUUUAAAGGGAGCGUAGGUGGAUUGUUAAGUCAGUUGUGAAAGUUUGCGGCUCAACCGUAAAAUUGCAGUUGAAACUGGCAGUCUUGAGUACAGUAGAGGUGGGCGGAAUUCGUGGUGUAGCGGUGAAAUGCUUAGAUAUCACGAAGAACUCCGAUUGCGAAGGCAGUUCACUGGACUGCAACUGACACUGAGGCUCGAAAGUGUGGGUAUCAAACAGGAUUAGAUACCCGAGUAGUC
rnacentral:rRNA from 1 species